rnacentral:rRNA from 1 species
UACGAAGGGGGCUAGCGUUGCUCGGAUUGACGGGGCGUAAAGGGCGCGUAGGCGGUUUGCAUAGUCAGACGUGAAAUUCCUGGGCUUAACCUGGGGGCUGCGUUUGAUACAUGCAGGCUUGAGUUCGGAAGAGGGUCGUGGAAUUCCCAGUGUAGAGGUGAAAUUCGUAGAUAUUGGGAAGAACACCGGUGGCGAAGGCGGCGACCUGGUCCGAUACUGACGCUGAGGCGCGAAAGCGUGGGGAGCAAACAGG